UAAGGAAUAUUGGUCAAUGGACGCAAGUCUGAACCAGCCAUGCCGCGUGAAGGAUGAAGGUCCUCUGGAUUGUAAACUUCUUUUAUCUGGGACGAAAACGGGAUUUUUAUCUCAAUUGACGGUACCAGAGGAAUAAGCACCGGCUAACUCCGUGCCAGCAGCCGCGGUAAUCCGGAGGGUGCGAGCGUUAUCCGGAUUUACUGGGUUUAAAGGGUGAGUAGGUGGGCUUAUAAGUCAGUGGUGAAAUCUCCGAGCUUAACUUGGAAACUGCCGUCGAUACUAUAGGUCUUGAAUUAUCUGGAGGUAAGCGGAAUAUGUCAUGUAGCGGUGAAAUGCUUAGAUAUGACAUAGAACACCAAUUGCGAAGGCAGCUUACUACAUAUAAAUUGACGCUGAGGCACGAAAGCGUGGGGAUCAAACA
rnacentral:rRNA from 1 species